CCUACGGGAGGCUGCAGUAGGGAAUCUUCCACAAUGGGCGAAAGCCUGAUGGAGCAACGCCGCGUGGGUGAAGAAGGUCUUCGGAUCGUAAAACCCUGUUGUUAGAGAAGAAAGUGCGUGAGAGUAACUGUUCACGUUUCGACGGUAUCUAACCAGAAAGCCACGGCUAACUACGUGCCAGCAGCCGCGGUAAUACGUAGGUGGCAAGCGUUAUCCGGAUUUAUUGGGCGUAAAGCGAACGCAGGCGGUCUUUUAAGUCUGAUGUGAAAGCCUUCGGCUUAACCGGAGAAGGGCAUUGGAAACUGGGAGACGUGAGUGCAGAAGAGGAGAGUGGAACUCCAUGUGUAGCGGUGAAAUGCGUAGAUAUAUGGAAGAACACCAGUGGCGAAGGCGGCUCUCUGGUCUGUAACUGACGCUGAUGUUCGAAAGCGUGGGUAGCAAACAGGAUUAGAUACCCGGGUAGUC
rnacentral:rRNA from 1 species